UACGGAGGAUGCAAGCGUUAUCCGGAAUGAUUGGGCGUGAAGCGUCCGCAGGUGGCUGUGUAAGUCUGCUGUCAAAGAGCGAAGCUCAACUUCGUAAAGGCAGUGGAAACUACACGGCUAGAGUGCGUUCGGGGCAGAGGGAAUUCCUGGUGUAGCGGUGAAAUGCGUAGAGAUCAGGAAGAACACCGGUGGCGAAGGCGCUCUGCUAGGCCGCAACUGACACUGAGGGACGAAAGCUAGGGGAGCGAAUGGG
rnacentral:rRNA from 1 species